rnacentral:lncRNA from 1 species
ACAGCAAGGUCCUGCAGAUUGGCCUUUCUUAUUUUGUUUUCGAAACCAGAAUAUGUGAGUAAACUUUAUAACCUCUUCCUUUCAUGAAGUUAUGCUCUUAAAUAAAAAUCAUCCAUGAGUGUAUAUGUGAAGGCAAUAAGAUAGUUAAUAAAUACAAUUGCAAGAAGAAGAAUGUAAGUGUGCAUAUACAGGACAAAAGAAGAUAUUGUUUAACGUCUGGGCUAUCAGAUUAACAUACCAGCAACCAGCUCCAUCAACUGUUAUUUCUAAUUGGGUAAAUUUGGUACCAAACUUCUAUAAUCCAGCCCUUAGUACCUCAAGAUUAAUUAUCCCUUUAUUUAUCAAUAUCCUAUGAUUCAAAUUCUCUAAAGACUGUCGUCUCUUCCUCUGACAAGAUUUCUUAAAAGAUGUGCCUAUAACUGAAGAAAUGAGAAGAUUUGUUAAGUAGUGUAGAUUAUACUACCAAGCAAGCACAAAAAGAGUUUGAUGUUCAGAUCGUUUCAGUACCUUCAAGGAACCCCUCUUAAACUUGCCUAGAAAACCUUAUGCGUGUCGUUGUCGUGGCCGCACACAACUCCAUUGACUCGGUGUCCUCAAUGCACGGUGAUCCCUGCAAGUAGAACCAUAAGAAGAGUACUGUCCUCUGAAAUAUGUGCAUCCGACAGAAAUCAGCAUGGACAAACAACUUCUUGUAAAAUCCCUAGGACCCGGGAAAAAAACCACAUCGCCCAGCCAACGGCGGUAUGUCCCUCAUCGUCGGGAGCGGCA